GUUGAACGCUGGCGGCAGGCUUAACACAUGCAAGUCGAGCGGAGAUGAGGUGCUUGCACCUUAUCUUAGCGGCGGACGGGUGAGUAAUGCUUAGGAAUCUGCCUAUCAGUGGGGGACAACAUUCCGAAAGGAAUGCUAAUACCGCAUACGUCCUACGGGAGAAAGCAGGGGAUCUUCGGACCUUGCGCUAAUAGAUGAGCCUAAGUCGGAUUAGCUAGUUGGUGGGGUAAAGGCCUACCAAGGCGACGAUCUGUAGCGGGUCUGAGAGGAUGAUCCGCCACACUGGGACUGAGACACGGCCCAGACUCCUACGGGAGGCAGCAGUGGGGAAUAUUGGACAAUGGGGGGAACCCUGAUCCAGCCAUGCCGCGUGUGUGAAGAAGGCCUUAUGGUUGUAAAGCACUUUAAGCGAGGAGGAGGCUACUGAGACUAAUACUCUUGGAUAGUGGACGUUACUCGCAGAAUAAGCACCGGCUAACUCUGUGCCAGCCGCCGCAGUAAAAC
rnacentral:rRNA from 1 species